UACGUAGGGGGCAAGCGUUGUCCGGAAUCAUUGGGCGUAAAGAGCGUGUAGGCGGUCCGGUAAGUCGGUUGUGAAAGUCCAGGGCUCAACCCUGGGAUGCCGACCGAUACUGUCGGACUAGAGUUCGGAAGAGGCGAGUGGAAUUCCCGGUGUAGCGGUGAAAUGCGCAGAUAUCGGGGAGGAACACCUAUGGCGAAGGCAGCUCGCUGGGACGUUACUGACGCUGAGACGCGAAAGCGUGGGGAGCAAACAGG
rnacentral:rRNA from 1 species